CAUUGGGGGCGUGGCCUGGCCCUCGGUUGUCUGCUUUCGGGUUUGCAGUGCUGUGGGCCCUUUCCACUCCCAGGCCCUUUAUUAUGUCAUCUUGGCCUGGAGCCGGGUCAGCUUUGGGCUGAACAGUGAGCCAAAACAGACCUCUUCUCUAAGUUGUGGCUGUCGGGUAUUUUGCUCCAGCAAUGAGAAAACUAAGACACGGAGGAAAGGCAGUAUACGCGCGCAGGCGUGUGCACGCACCCUGCUGCCACUGUAUCUUGAGUGAAAACAGUAAAUGAACACAAGCCUACUUCACGCGUGCAAACGAGUAUCAGGAACCCUCGCACUCUUACCCUCCCCCCAGGAAGCUGCAGGUGCUUUGCUGUUAACCCCUGGCACUGCCGAGACCUCUUCAAGCGCCCCCUGGAUGUAAGGAGAGCUGAGCCGCAUGAGCACCUGGAAACCAGCUGCCCCGGGCUUGAAGCAGGACAAGCUCAGAGUGUGAUUUCCACUCCAGGCCUCCGAGGGAUCCUGCUGAGGUUAGGACCUUGCUUGAAAUCCGCCUGGCCUGGCCUGGCCUGGCCUGUUUCCUUAUUCUCAUCAGAUCGAGUGACUGCCCCUGUCCCUGUCUCCGCACGUGCAUCCUUCUAGAAAGGCCCAAUUUAGGAGAGAGCUUCUGUGCUCACCUGGGGCAGACUUGUGAACCCGUGGAGCGAUGGAGAAAGACUCCAAGUUCCGGAGACACUGCACCUGAGUUGAGCCCCUGACCCCAUGUGCAGCUCAGGGUAAACCUGCAGCACACGGUCCUGUCCGCCCUCCUGGAACAAGGAAAUGAAUCCGUCUUCCUGCAGAGUUGCUGUGAGGACCCCACGAGAUAAACCACAAGGAGCCCCGUGUGCUCUGGCCAGCGCAUAGUAGCUGCACAGUGAACACCAGUUCCUUCAGCCUCUCACCUUGUGGCCUGCCUGUCUAUCUAAGUGCCUGCCUGUCUGUCUAACUGGUGGGGGGGGGGAGCCCACAGCUCCUGCCCAGCAGCUGAGCAUCACACAUCUUAGUGUGAUGAGUGACAAAUCUGUCACUUCUUCAGGGAGGACCUGAGGCCACUGGGACCUUGCCCAAAGGCAGCAGCAGGAGGUCGGAUGAAUCAGGCUGCCUAAGAGGAGGCACACGCGCAUGCGCACGGGUGCCCACACUUUGCCAACAGCCAAGUGGUGAUGCCACCGGGCAGGAGAACCUUGAGAACCAGUUCCGGCUAGGCGGCUGCUAGGCGACAGCCUGCAUGUACCUACCUGAUGGAGGCCGGCGGAGCUGUGAGUUCCUGGGCUGCAAAUCUGGUCUGCAUGGGGGCCCCUUCUCCGCCUCCACCAGCCUUGCUGGGCACCCUCCCCUUUCCUGAUCCCACACACACUUGCCGUGGCACAGCUGAGGCCCAGAAGACAGACGGCCAGAAAGGAAGGGGAGAAGCCACCUUCGCCCUUCCCCUCACUGAGGUCCUGAGCGACAUGAGGACACCGACAGUCAACAGCGUGCACCUCCAGAGGGCCAGGCUGCAGGGUUCAGCCAGCGCGGUCCCGCAGCCCCAGGUCUGGGUCCAGUCUCUGUCUCUCUCUGGAAGCCGGGGUCACAGUUAUCAGCAUUUCCUUUGCAGUGCCAGUGCCGUGGAUUGUCUUUUAGAGGUAAAAUCACAUUGCUCAUCCCCUGGGGUUUUGUAAAUCCUCCAGCAGAAGUACAGAACGGGGGAAGCAGCUUUCUCGGGGUGCCCUGGUGGUUCGUGGCAGAGCCAGAACACAGCCCUGAUGCUGUUCCAUUGCAUUUUGCUGCCAUGGCGACAUUUCAAUUAAGACAGGCAACAAAGCCAUUGCCACAUACCUGCCCGUCCUGUCCUUCACUGUGUCCUAUCUCUGGGUGCUGGGAGCAGGGUCCACUGGGACCCACCUCCGUCCUGCUGCUGUGCUUAGCUGUGGCUGGUCCUUGGAACUCAGGGAAGAAGAGAGGCUGACACGAUUGCCCCUCAGGGACCCCAACACCUAAGAGCUGAAGUGUCCUGCGCAGUCACCUGUGUCACUGCCUGACCAUCAUCUGAGCAGCUCAGGGUCACUCUUCUCAUUCAUAUCAUUAACUACCUUCUUAUUUCAUGCAAAAUUGAUACACUGGUGCAUGCCUAUAAUCCCAACCCUCUGGGAGGCUGAGGCAGAAGGAUUACAUGUUGUAGCCCAGCCUGAGCAAGGCCUCCGAAUAAAAAAUGAGCAGAGAGAGAAAGAGAGAGAGAGAGUGGACAUUACCCAACCCAGAAGAAAGUGGUCAGAAAUAUACACGCCUGGAGGCCCGUCAGAUGAGACCCAGGUCAUAUCCCAGGGAAAGUCAUCAGAGCAGGUGUGUAAGAUGUAACUGGGAACCGUCCGUCACUGUCACGUAGGAGGCCGAGUGACCUGUGCUUGCCUGCUGCUCGGGAAUAAGCAAGGAGGACACAUACAACUUACAGAGAGGGAGGGCUAGCUGGAAUGUGAGGGAGGGAACUAGAACUGACUGUUAGCAAAACAGACGACCUCAAAGAAAUUACACAGCUACGUGAAAGGUGCUGCUUUGAUGGCUUGUUUUGGACCAGGGGUACAGUCCUGUGGCUUAAAGCAAAACAGUACAGAAAGGCUUACAGCUAGGGGCCUAGCCCCACACACCCUCAGCACAUCCUUCUCGUGUGCAGGAACCAGUGUUUACACCGUCCAAGCUUCUAGAGGCAAAGAAGAGCCUUUCUGCAUCCCUCCUUCAAAAUAAAUGGCAACCUGAAAUGGGAACCUCAGGACUGGGGAUUUAGCUCAGCGGCAUGAGUGCCUGCCUUGCAAGUGUGCAGUCGUGAGUUUGAUCCUUGGUGCCGAUUUAAAAAAACAAAAAUACAAGUGAAAUGCUAACCUCGGCUUCAGGCUGACUUCUAUUGUGUUGAAUCCUCUGUUUAACCCAUAUAUUGAACUUUUUGUUUUUUUGUGUGUUUUUCAGUAGUGGGAAUUAAAACCGGCCCCUUUGCACUGAGCUACAUCCCUACCCCUUUUAGCAAAAUUUCCCUUCCUGGGUUUGGUGGUACAUAUCUAAAAUCCCAGCACUUGGGAAGCUGAGGCAGGAGGAUCACAACAUGUUCAACGCCAGCCUGAAGUGCAUAGUGAGAGCCUGUCUCAAAAGACCAAAACAAAAGAAAAAAAUUUUUCUUAUUUUGAGAUAGCGUCUCACUAAAUUGCUGAACUGCCCAGGCUGGGCUCUAAUUUGCCAUCCUCCUGCCUCAGCCUCCCAGAGUGCUGAGAUUACAGGCAUGUAGUAUCAUGCUCAGUUUUAACUCAUCAACUGGGUUUUUAAUUUUACUUACUUAAUUUUCUCAGUCCUCCAAUUUCUAUUUUAUUCUUUUUAUGGAUCUUAAUUCUCUGAUGAAAUAUUCUAUUUUUAAUUUUUUUCCUUUUUGUGGUUUCUGGAAGAUAUUAAUCAUGGCUCUUUUAAAGUCCUCAGUGUCUGAGUCACUUGUGGGUCUGUUUCUAUUGUCUAUUUUUGUCUCAUGACACGGGUCGUCAGGUCCUGGUUCUUGGCAUGCCUCAAAUUUUUUUUUUUCCUGAAUGCUAGACAUUUUAAAUUUGAACUUCACAGUAUGUACUAAAGAUUUUUCCAUUGAUACAGUAAAAUAUAUAUCUGCACAUUGAAAAA